CCCUGGUUAGCUCAGUUGGGUAGAAGCGCCUCCACCUUGUAAUGGAGAGGUCCCCGGUUCGAUACCCGGGCCAGGGC
rnacentral:tRNA from 1 species